GCCGGGCCCCGCCGCUGAGUGGGGAAGGCGGGAGUGCGGGGUGCGGAGAGCACACGUCUCAGGCCGGGCCUGUGAGGCCUAACUGUUCCUCAGACCGUAAAACCACAGUAUCAGGCCCUUGGGGGGCGAGCAGAAGCCCAGCCCAGAACCAGGAUGAGCGCCCCGGGGGCCGGCCCUGCCGCCGCUGCGAAUGACGGUUGGCGCGAGGUUCUGUCAGGCGCCCCGCGUUCCGUGCCCGGGAGGCCUUUUGUGUCCCCGAAGCCCGUAUGUUGUCUGUGGAGGCCCCUCUUGCUUGGAACUCGGAACUCGCAGGGACAGCCGACCCGGCCUGAGUCGGGGACCGCGAGGGCGAUGGGGUCCGAGCGCGUCUUCAGGCCCAAGCGAAGUACGAUAGCAGAGGGAACCCCGACGCUCGCCCCGCAGGAGUCCAGUAGAUGGAAAACCCGCUCCCUGGGCAUCUGCCUGUGUCUGAGGGGAGGUCCCUGCUCCUCGCGUCCUUCCAGGCACGUUAAAGGACCACCUAGUGCGAGGUGCCUCGGGAGAAAGCAAGCUGCAGAGGCGGGCCCUCCUGUUCAGCAAAACGUUGGUUUCCAGCCCCCCGUCCCCCGCCUCCAAUGCUCCUUGAGCGCCUCGCCUCCGCUUGGGGCUGCCAGGUGCUGUGCGUGUUUAGAAGGGACCCCCAGGUGGACCUGAGGCUGGCAGCCCUGGAGAGCCACCCAGUACUGCCCCCCGGUGAGCCGAGAGCAGGAAGCCUCUGUGGGAGCAGAGGGAACUAAACGAGACAGGAGGAGCUCCUGUUUGUCACUCACCGGAGUGAGCCCCGCUAUGUUAGAUACUAAAGAAGGCUUCCCCACAAUCCAUUUGCAUCUGCUUUGACUGAUGGUUUCUAUCAACCUACAAAGACUGACUUAUUGGUGAGGGCAGCUGGACAACUCUGAGAGCAACUUAGAGAAAUCCAUCUUGGGCACACUCUAUAAAGGAGCUCCUUCUCUGGAAAUAGCACCCCAGAUAAGUGCACAAAAGCAAGACACCCUCGUGGACCUACUUCCUCCCGCUUUCAACACCCUGAUGCCUGAAGCUAUGCUUGAUACUAAAGGAGGUUUCCUACAUUUGCAUCUUCUGUAUUUUGAAAUUGCAACUAUGGACAGUUAUGGCUAAUCCUAGUAGAUUGUCUUCCCUUCUUUUAACAUCUUGGAUGAAUUUGGGGCACACUAAUGUGUUAAGUGAAGAUGGAUGUUGAAUAGAUACUGUGUAGAUUCACACCAGCCAGCCAUCUUAAAAUACCUGCAUGGGCCACAGAGAUAUCUGCGGAGAAAGUGUGAAUGACCCAUGUUCUAGGUCUGUGGAGAUCCUUUGAGAUAAGAAGUGAAUAUUCAGCAAGUUUGAGACUCCUGGAUGUUGGUAGUUGUACUUCACUUUGUCUCUGAAUUGAUAGCCGUUAUAAGGAACAAGCACAUUGUCCCCACUGCCUUUGUGAAAAUGAACUGAGCUUCCUAGGGUGGGUGGGAGAUAGAAAGUUGUUCUUCUUGUUGAAAUGUAAUGAAUUUCACUCUCAGGUAGUUUAUGGUUGUUUUAAUGUUCACAUUGACAUUUCUUUAAGGACGAGCCACAUGUUUUAGGCAUUUUAAAUUAUAUCAGUGGCUAUAUUUUAGUUCUAAUAAUCAUAAAUUUUUUACUAUUUCUUUAUACAGUCCCUCAACUUUCACCCCUUUUUUCUUUGCCAGUGUGUAGAAUUUGACAGCAGUAUCAAGAGCUGAUGAGGAAGAGAAGAUGGAAAGGAGUCUAGCGACUUAAAAAUCUCAUAGCGUUCUCUGUGAGGUGACCUUUUUCCUGCUGGGGCUCAACUUAUUUAGGAGAUAAAGAAGAUACUCAGGCCUGUGAUAGUAUCAACAUGUCAUAUCUGAGCUUAUUGAAAUGUUUCAUCCCUUUCCUUAUUCUUUAUUCUUUAUAUUACAGUUUACUUUUUGUGCUCCUAAGUUGAUUCAUUUGUUUCCUACUAGUAUUUGAAACACCAUGUGGCCAACUGAGUCCUAACAAAUUGACUUCUGAUGAGGAGGGGAAAGGCCCAUGUGCCCACCUUCCGAAUCCAUUUACCUGUGCAACUAAAGAAUUUACACCAAACCUUCGAUUGAAAGUGAUUAAAAGGCGACUAUCAAGACUAAUAGAAUUCUAUAGCUGUCUUCUAAGAGAAGAAUGUGCUCGAUUAAAAUCAUGCUUAUGGAAUGGUAACCGCAUUUGGCAGUACCUAUCUAUGAAAAGACAUUUUCUUUUUUUUGGUUAAAGGUUUCAUUUAUGUAUUUGACAGAGACAAAGCGAGAGAGGGAACACAAGCAGGGGGAGUAGGAGAGGGAGAAACCGGCUUCCUCCUGAGUAGGGAGCACAACAUGAGGCUCUGGUCCCAAGACCCCUGGGAUUGUGACCUGAGCUGAAGGCAGAUGGUUAACGACUGAGCCACCCAGGCGCCCCGUGAAAAGAUAUUUUCAAAGGUGAAAUUUAUAAAAUCUGAUGACAGAGUCUGCAUUAACAGAUAAACAUUUGUAAUCAAUUUUUUUUUUUAGAUUUUUAAAAUUUAUUUGACAGAGAUCACAAGUAGGCAGAGAGGUAGA